CGAACUUUAACUAUAGGAUGAGGUAGGGCUACCCAGCGCAGAUGGCCCAUUCUGAGAUAAAGUAUUUUCCCCAUUUUUGUGGUUAUCCCCAGGUCUUCUUUGGGAGGAGUUUUAUGACCUUGUUUCUGUGUUUUGUGGUCUGCUUGGAGCUGGUGCCUAAUUGCUUUCUUUUCAAAGUCAGGCCUGGUCCUUAAAUGAAGACAAAUGGGGUUUAUGUUGUCCUUUCAAUUCCCAUUCCAAAAUGGGGGAGUGGGAAGAUAGGAAAAAGAAAGAAAGGAAGAAAGGAAGAAAGGAAGAAAGAAAGAAAGAAAGAAAGAAAGAAAGAAAGAAAGAAAGAAAGAAAGAAAGAAAGAAAGAAAGAAAGAAAGAAAGAAAGAAAAAGCCACCCAAACCCAGCAGGGCAAACAUUAGAUCCUGUAUUUCCACUGCCGCAGCACAGGACAUCCUGUGGGCUUUGUUGCAGCAUGCAUGGCCUCCAUGGACGCUGGUUCUUCUCCACAUAUUUUUCUUUACCAAAUGUUCUACAUUCUUGGUUUCUCCAACGUCCUCAGGUUUCCAUCUUGUGGAAGACUUCACUUCUAUAACUUCAUACAUGGUCCACUCAAGGUCUUUGUAGUGGUUUGAAACAAAAUGGCCUCCAUAGGCUCAUAGGAAGUGACAGUAUUAGGAGGUGUGGCCUUGGAGGAGGUGUGGCUUUGUUGGAGGAAGUGUGUCAUUAGGGGGUGGGCUUCAAGGUCUCCGAAGCUCAAGCCAGUUCACCUCCUGCUGCCUAAUGAAUGCAGAACUCUGAGCUCCUCCACCACCAUGUCUGUCUGCGUGCUACCAUGUUUCCUAAGAUGAUAAUGGACUAAACCUCUGAACCUGUAAGCCAGCCCCAAUUAAAUGUUCUCCUUUGUAAGGGUUGCCGGGAUCGUGGUAUCUGUUCACAGCAAUAGAAACUCCACCCUUAGCAGAG
rnacentral:lncRNA from 1 species